AUUGAACGCUGGCGGCAGGCCUAACACAUGCAAGUCGAACGGCAGCACAGGAGAGCUUGCUCUCUGGGUGGCGAGUGGCGGACGGGUGAGGAAUACAUCGGAAUCUACCUUUUCGUGGGGGAUAACGUAGGGAAACUUACGCUAAUACCGCAUACGACCUACGGGUGAAAGUGGGGGACCGCAAGGCCUCACGCGAUUAGAUGAGCCGAUGUCCGAUUAGCUAGUUGGGGGGGUAAUGGCCCACCAAGGCGACGAUCGGUAGCUGGUCUGAGAGGAUGAUCAGUCACACUGGAACUGAGACACGGUCCAGACUCCUACGGGAGGCAGCAGUGGGGAAUAUUGGACAAUGGGCGCAAGCCUGAUCCAGCCAUACCGCGUGGGUGAAGAAGGCCUUCGGGUUGUAAAGCCCUUUUGUUGGGAAAGAAAUCCUGUCGAUUAAUACUCGGUGGGGAUGACGGUACCCAAAGAAUAAGCACCGGCUAACUUCGUGCCAGCCGCCGCCGUAAAAC
rnacentral:rRNA from 1 species